rnacentral:rRNA from 1 species
UACGUAGGGUGCAAGCGUUGUCCGGAAUUAUUGGGCGUAAAGAGCGUGUAGGCGGCUUGGAAGGUCCGUUGUGAAAACUCGAGCUCAACCUCGAGACGCCGAUGGAAACCACCUAGCUAGAGUCCGGAAGAGGAGAGUGGAAUUCCUGGUGUAGCGGUGAAAUGCGCAGAUAUCAGGAAGAACACCCGUGGCUAAGGCGGCUCUCUAGUACGGUACUGACGCUGAGACGCGAAAGCGUGGGGAGCGAACAGG